UACGUAGGGGGCGAGCGUUGUCCGGAUUUAUUGGGCGUAAAGAGCGUGUAGGCGGCCAGGUAGGUCUGCUGUGAAAACUCGAGGUUCAACCUCGAGACGUCGGCGGAAACCAUCUGGCUAGAGUCCGGAAGAGGAGAGUGGAAUUCCUGGUGUAGCGGUGAAAUGCGCAGAUAUCAGGAAGAACACCCGUGGCGAAGGCGGCUCUCUGGGACGGUACUGACGCUGAGACGCGAAAGCGUGGGGAGCGAACAGG
rnacentral:rRNA from 1 species